UACGUAGGGCGCAAGCGUUAUCCGGAAUUAUUGGGCGUAAAGAGCUCGUAGGCGGUUUGUCGCGUCUGCCGUGAAAGUCCGGGGCUCAACUCCGGAUCUGCGGUGGGUACGGGGCAGACUAGAGUGAUGUAGGGGAGACUGGAAUUCCUGGUGUAGCGGUGAAAUGCGUAGAGAUCGGGAGGACACCAGUGGCGAAGGCGGCCUCUGGACCAAUUACGUGAACGCUCAUGCACGAAAAGCGUGGGGAGCAAACAGG
rnacentral:rRNA from 1 species